AUUGAACGCUGGCGGCACGCUUUACACAUGCAAGUCGAACGGUAACAGGUUAAGCUGACGAGUGGCGAACGGGUGAGUAAUGCAUCGGAACGUGCCCGGUCGUGGGGGAUAACACUUCGAAAGAAGUGCUAAUACCGCAUACGAUCUAAGGAUGAAAGCGGGGGACCGUAAGGCCUCGCGCGAUCGGAGCGGCCGAUGUCAGAUUAGGUAGUUGGUGGGGUAAAGGCCUACCAAGCCGACGAUCUGUAGCUGGUCUGAGAGGACAACCAGCCACACUGGGACUGAGAAACGGCCCAGACGCCGUCGGGAGGAAGCAGUGGGGAAUUUUGGAAAAUGGGCGCAAGCCUGAUCCAGCAAUGCCGCGUGCAGGAUGAAGGCCUUCGGGUUGUAAACUGCUUUUGUACGGAACGAAAAGGUUUGGCCUAAUAAGCUGAGCUCAUGACGGUACCGUAAGAAUAAGCACCGGCUAACUACGUGCCAGCAGCCGCCGUAA
rnacentral:rRNA from 1 species